GAACUACAGGCGCCCACCACCACGCCCGGCUAAUUUUUUGUAUUUUUAGUAGAGACGGGGUUUCACCGUGUUAGCCAGGAUGGUCUCGAUCUCCUGACCUCGUGAUCCGCCCGCCUCGGCCUCCCAAAGUGCUGGGAAUAAUAAUUUUAAAUAAUCUGUAAUGUAUGUAAAAAUUCUGCCAUGGAAAAUAUUCUUCACUGAAACUCAAGCUUCCAAAGAAAUGAAUGUAAAUAUGAAGAGUUCCUCUUAAUCCAGAAGAGAACACAUUACAUAAAGCCUGACAUGGAAAGAAUACUUCAAGUUUGCCUUCUACCCUUGUUCCAUGUUCCAUAUUUCUAUACUUAAUGGUGGAACCCCACAUAUAAUUGUCAUAUGUGCCCUACUACUGAAGCUUAUGAGGUAAAAUGCUGAAAUUGGGCAUUUAAUUAUCUUCCCACGUACGCUUCUGUUAAACUCAUUGCAAUUCUUUACAUCUACAUUGCUUUUUAAAAAACUGUAUUAUUAGACCCAAGAGAAUAACCUAACAUUAUCAUAUUAAAUUUGUGCUUUUAAGAUUUAGUAUAUCGCUAAUUUUU
rnacentral:lncRNA from 1 species